rnacentral:misc_RNA from 1 species
GGUAUUUCUCCAGAAAAAUUGUUAUUAGAAAGAUCUAGACGAACCAUUAAAUGAAGCGUGAAAAAGGAAGAAGGAACAGAACCAACAAAUUCGUUAUCCUGAAGGUAAAGAUUACGAAGCUCAACAAGUUUAGAAAUAUCAGAAGGAAGAGAACCCGAAAGCCGGUUAAAACGUAGACUAAUCGUCUUAACCUUAGUAAGAUUCGAAAUGGUAUUCACCGGAAUCUCAC